rnacentral:rRNA from 1 species
AUUAUUAAUAUUAAUAUAUUAUUAAUAAUCCCGUCCGAUCUGUCAAGCGACGUUGGGCUUGGGUUAGUACUAGGAUCGGAGACGGCCUGAGAAUCCCAAGUGCUUAUUAAUA